GAGCCGGCCCCCGCCGCCGACAGCGGCCACCCGGAGCGGCGGCACGGCAGCGACAAAGAGGACAAAAAGGCAUCUACACUGAAACUGUCUGGAUUUCAUUGGGCAUGUGGCCUGAUGGUGGCUCAAAUUUUCUGAAAUACAUUCCAGAGGAUGCAGCAGACCUGUGGCUGUGGCUCCUUUGCACAUAAAUGUUAUUGUGUGUUUGUUUGACCAUGGUAGGAUAUUUAAUGUGUCAUAGAAACACAUUCUGUGUGCCCAGACUCAGUGUCAGUGCCACCACAGAACCUUUCAGACAAAUGUAUUUUCCCUCAUUUGACCCUUUAAAAAAAAAAAAAAAAAAAAAAAAAGCACAACCCCAGACUUUGAGAAACUGUAAUUUCCUGUGAAAAAUGUACCUUCCUGUCUUCUUCUGGGGGAAAAGGGAACUUUGUUAUAUCCAUUGUUGUAAGUGAAAUACAGUGUACAGCAUGCUAAGUAAUUGCUCAGUUAAAUGUCAGUGUGAAUCCAGAAA